rnacentral:rRNA from 1 species
AGAGUUUGAUCAUGGCUCAGGAUGAACGCUAGCGGCAGGCCUAAUACAUGCAAGUCGAACGCUCGAGUAGCAAUACUGGGAGUGGCGCACGGGUGCGUAACGCGUACACAAUCUACCUCUAAGCGGGGGACACCUCCUGGAAACGGGGAUUAAUACCGCAUAAUAUGCCGAAGUCGCAUGACUUUGGUAUUAAAGCAGCAAUGCACUUAGAGAUGAGUGUGCGUCCCAUUAGGUAGUUGGUGAGGUAACGGCUCACCAAGCCUAUGAUGGGUAGCCGGUCUGAGAGGAUGGUCGGCCACACGGGCACUGAGACACGGGCCCGACUCCUACGGGAGGCAGCAGUAAGGAAUAUUGGUCAAUGGUGGAAACACUGAACCAGCCAUGCCGCGUGGAGGAAUAAGGUCCUACGGAUUGUAAACUCCUUUUGACGAGGAAGAAAAUGUUAGAUUUAUCUAAUUUUGACGGUACUCGUAGAAUAAGCACCGGCUAACUCCGUG